ACGGUAGAGGGGGCAACCCCUUGAGAGUGGCGAACGGGUGAGUAAUGUAUCGGAACGUGCCCAGUCGUGGGGGAUAACGUAGUGAAAAUUACGCUAAUGCCGCAUACGAUCUAUGGAUGAAAGCGGGGGAUCGCAAGACCUCGCGCGAUUGGAGCGGCCGAUAUCAGAUUAGGUAGUUGGUGGGGUAAAGGCUCACCAAGCCAACGAUCUGUAGCUGGUCUGAGAGGACGACCAGCCACACUGGAACUGAGACACGGUCCAGACUCCUACGGGAGGCAGCAGUGGGGAAUUUUGGACAAUGGACGCAAGUCUGAUCCAGCCAUUCCGCGUGCAGGACGAAGGCCUUCGGGUUGUAAACUGCUUUUGUACGGAACGAAAAAGCUCUUAUUAAUACUAGGAGUCCAUGACGGUACCGUAAGAAUAAGCACCGGCUAACUACGUGCCAGCAGCCGCGGUAAUACGUAGGGUGCAAGCGUUAAUCGGAAUUACUGGGCGUAAAGCGUGCGCAGGCGGUUAUAUAAGACAGAUGUGAAAUCCCCGAGCUUAACUUGGGAACUGCAUUUGUGACUGUAUAGCUAGAGUACGGCAGAGGGGGAUGGAAUUCCGCGUGUAGCAGUGAAAUGCGUAGAUAUGCGGAGGAACACCGAUGGCGAAGGCAAUCCCCUGGGCCUGUACUGACGCUCAUGCACGAAAGCGUGGGGAGCAAACAGGAUUAGAUACCCUGGUAGUCCACGCCCUAAACGAUGUCAACUGGUUGUUGGGUCUUCACUGACUCAGUAACGAAGCUAACGCGUGAAGUUGACCGCCUGCCGAGUACGGCCGCAAGGAUGAAACUCANAGGAAUUGACGGGGGACCCGCACAAGCGGGGGAUGAUGUGGUUUUAUUCGAUGCACCGCGGAAAACCUUUACCACCUUUGACAU
rnacentral:rRNA from 1 species